UACGGGGGGGGCAAGCGUUGUUCGGAAUUACUGGGCGUAAAGGGCUCGUAGGUGGCCAACUAAGUCAGACGUGAAAUCCCUCGGCUUAACCGGGGAACUGCGUCUGAUACUGGAUGGCUUGAGUUCGGGAGAGGGAUGCGGAAUUCCAGGUGUAGCGGUGGAAUGCGCAGAUAUCAGGAGGAACACCAAUGGCGAAGGCAGCUCGCUGGGACGGUACUGACGCUGAGGCGCGAAAGCGUGGGGAGCAAACAGG
rnacentral:rRNA from 1 species